rnacentral:sRNA from 1 species
AAUUAACAAGUGCUCAUUCUAAUCUACAAAUCCACUCAUUACUUAACACCUGUGAACUUAUCUAUUAUAAACAUUAUAAUAUGUCAUUGGAACGUUUGAUUAUAAUAAGUUAAUACAACUUUCAACAACGGAUCUCUUGGCUCUCGCAUCGAUGAAGAACGCAGCGAAAUGCGAUAAGUAAUGUGAAUUGCAGAAUUCAGUGAAUCAUCGAAUCUUUGAACGCACCUUGCGCUCCCUGGUAUUCCGGGGAGCAUGCCUGUUUGAGUGUCGUGAAGUCAUCAGGGUCAUGAUCUUUAAUUAAUCAUGGCUUGGAUUUGGAGGUUAUGUUGGCUUUCAGUCGACUCCUCUUAAAUGUAUUAGCUCAGUGUUUAAUGCUUAGAGCGGUUCACGGUGUGAUAAAUUAUCUACAAAAAACCCCACUAAGUUAGCUGGCUUCUAAUAGAUCCUUUGUGAUCACUUUGUGUAUUGACCUCAAAUCAG